ACGAGUUUGAUCCUGGCUCAGAUUGAACGCUGGCGGCAGGCCUAACACAUGCAAGUCGAGCGGUAGAGAGGUGCUUGCAUCUCUUGAGAGCGGCGGACGGGUGAGUAAUGCCUAGGAAUCUGCCUAGUGGUGGGGGAUAACGUUCGGAAACGGACGCUAAUACCGCAUACGUCCUACGGGAGAAAGCGGGGGAUCUUCGGACCUCGCGCCAUUAGAUGAGCCUAGGUCGGAUUAGCUAGUAGGUGAGGUAAUGGCUCACCUAGGCGACGAUCCGUAACUGGUCUGAGAGGAUGAUCAGUCACACUGGAACUGAGACACGGUCCAGACUCCUACGGGAGGCAGCAGUGGGGGAAUAUUGGACAAUGGGCGAAAGCCUGAUCCAGCAAUGCCGCGUGAGUGAUGAAGGCCUUCGGGUUGUAAAGCUCUUUUACUCGGGGCGAUAAUGACGGUACCGAGAGAAUAAGCCCCGGCUAACUCCGUG
rnacentral:rRNA from 1 species